rnacentral:rRNA from 1 species
UAUGUGAUCGUCUCUCGCAUAUCAAUAAGCGGAGGAAAAGAAACUAACAAGGAUUCCCCUAGUAACGGCGAGUGAAGCGGGAAGAGCUCAAAUUUGAAAUCUUAAAGGGUUUCCCUUUACGAAUUGUAGUUUAAAGAAGUGUUUUCUGUUGAGGUUUUGGUAAAAGUUCCUUGGAAUAGGACAUCAUAGAGGGUGAGAAUCCCGUAUUUGACCUUUACUUUCAACUAUGUGAUACACUUUCAAAGAGUCGGAUUGUUUGGGAAUGCAGUCCAAAAUGGGUGGUAAAUUUCAUCUAAAGCUAAAUAUUGGCGAGAGACCGAUAGCGAACAAGUACCGUGAGGGAAAGAUGAAAAGAACUUUGAAAAGAGAGUUAAACAGUACGUGAAAUUGUCAAAAGGGAAGCGUUUGACACCAGUGUUGUUUUUCUGAAAAUCAAUUAAAGAACUGUUUAUGCUAAGCUGUUUAGACUUUAUCAGCUAACUGUUUAGUUUUGAGCUUUUCUUUAAUGCACUUUUCAGUUAACAAGUCAACAUCAAUUUCUUUUGCUGUAAAAAAGCUUGAGGAAGGUGGCUUGAGAUUCGUCUUAAGUGUUUAUAGCCUCUUGCCUAUGCAGUCGGAGAGAUUGAGGUCUGCAGCGUAGAUCCUUCGGGGCUAAAUGCAUUUGUGCUAAGUUAUAGCAUUUUAUAGACAACUUGUUGACUAUGAUUUGUCUUGUAGCUUACUCGCUUAUGUUAUUUUACCUACGCUUAGGAUGUUGAAGACUCUACAGAGAUA